GGAUGAGUGGAUGAGACCCAGGAAGCCCAAGGCCUUAGAGGAUGGGGACUGUGACCAGCGCUGGUGUGGCCUGGGCACCUCCCCCUUCUCAGCACUCCAGCCAGCCAGCCCAGGAGACCUCCAGAGGUGCCAGCUCAGACAGAGGGAACUUUGUGGAGGCCCUGGCACGCAUGUGUGGGUCUCUGUAUCCAAGGCUGUGUACCUAGGUGUGCCUCUCUGUGAGACUGUCUCUCCAGGGAUUUCUUGCACCUUCAACACCUGGGAGAGCUGCACUUCCAACAUUUGAGAAAGGCCUCUGGACCCUCAUGCGUGAGGAGACUGCCCGUCCAUAUCUGCCUCUGCCCGCCUCAUCCAAGUGGAAAGGCCUUGGGUCCCCACAUCUAGGAGGAGACUGAACGUCCUCAUCUUGGAAGCCCCCCUAGACUUCUGCACAGCUACUGCCGGUUUCCCCACUUUAGAGGGUCUAUGAGUGGCUCUACAUUCCCUGGCCCCAGGAAGUGUGAGCAGCUCUGCCAACACAAGUACUUCGGGCAUAUUUAUUGAGUUCCUACUUGGUAUUGGUCACGGGUUCGUGCUUUGCUGUGCUGUGGGGGAGCCUAGGAUAGAGAGUACCGGGGUAUUCGAGAGAUCGGUCCACCAUGGCUGGGACAGGACCAGGCACGACUCUAGAAGCUCCUGACUCUCUCCAACCUAGAAUCUCUCCUAAGAAGAUGAUCAGUUUGGGCAGAAGCUGUCAGGUAGGCCUUCCUACCCUAUUUCAUAGGUCAGUGACUCCUAAGUGUUCUGAACGGGAUCCUUUUCUCAUCCUACUCUACAUAGUCUCCAUGGAUGCGCACAUCUCUGAAGCUAUGUCAUGAAGACCCUCUGUGCUUCCCAAAUCCAGCCUUACUUUAUCUCUGGAAUUCUAACCAUAGAUCCAAAUGUCUUCCAGAAUCAGGGCGUGUGUUGAUUCCUGGUUCUGCCAUUUAAUAGCUACUGAAGGUAGCUAUUAUUAGUAAUAGUAAUUAGUAAUAGCUAUUCAAGGUAGCUUCAACCUCUCAAGGUUGUAAUUCACCAAUUCAUUUAUACCUAACCCCUUGUGUCUCAGCAAAUGCCAACUGACACAACCCCAAGGACCAUAUGGCUAAGGGGUCCCUUCCCUCAGUGCCAUGAAAUUCACAUGAAAGCCCGAUAAAUCCAAAUGCUAUCUUGAAAACAAGAAAGGGAAGGGUAAGAUAAUCUGAAAGACUGAGUCAUACUUACAGGCUGUCUAAAAUAAAAUUUUGGACCCUA